UAUAUAUAAAUUGCAGUAAUUAAUUUGAUUAUAAAAUCUCCAAACAGGUUAAGUAAUAAUUGAAGCAACAAAAUUCUGGCCACCAAACCAACUGAAUAAUGAACUCAAUAUUUCAAAAGCAAGGAGAAAAGGUUAUGAUGUUUAUUUAUCCUCUCCUUUGCAACUAAAAUCAAGUCUUUACCCUCCCAUAGAACUUUGCCUUCUCCUGGGUUGUCUGGAAUCUACCAUGGCCAAACUUGGAGGAUGUAUCAAUAAACUUGAGCUUGAUCUCCUCCAAAGCAACCCGAGAUGUCUGAUUCAAUAAUGAUUGUCUCAGGGUCACAACACGCUUCUUUGGUCCUACGCAGCAUCCUUUUAUCAUCACAUAAUCUUCCUUCACCACACCAUAGUGGGGGAAUCCUCCCAUUGGUGUGAUAUCCUUUUCAGUCCUGUCAUAUUCCGUAAUUGCAGUAUGAGACUCCUGGCCAGACUUCCCAAGCUUAUAGAUUUUCUUAUUCAUCUCAGUACGGUGAUGGUAACCGUUCUGCCCAGCCCUAGCAACAGUAAAUGACACCCUAGCAGGAUGCCAAGCACCAAUACAUGCCACUUUCCGCAGACCACGGUGGGUCUUGCGGGGGAGACGGGUGACACCCCAACGAGUAACCACACCUUCAUAGCCCUUCCCCUUGGUCACACCAAUUACGUCAAUCAUCUCGUCUUUUUGAAAAACCGCAUCAAUAGGUAUCUGCUUCUCAAAGAANNNNNNAACCUUCUUGGCAACAUCACCACCAUUUACCUGAAUCUCCAUCAAAUGAGCUUUCUUCUGCUUCAAACCUUUCAUCUUCCUGAUCUGGGUGUGUGCCAAGACACGAAUGACAGAACAAUGCUUCUUCA
rnacentral:misc_RNA from 1 species